GAGGGGCGGUGCUAUACAUGCAAGUCGAGCGGACAGAUGGGAGCUUGCUCCCUGAUGUUAGCGGCGGACGGGUGAGUAACACGUGGGUAACCUGCCUGUAAGACUGGGAUAACUCCGGGAAACCGGGGCUAAUACCGGAUGGUUGUUUGAACCGCAUGGUUCAGACAUAAAAGGUGGCUUCGGCUACCACUUACAGAUGGACCCGCGGCGCAUUAGCUAGUUGGUGAGGUAACGGCUCACCAAGGCGACGAUGCGUAGCCGACCUGAGAGGGUGAUCGGCCACACUGGGACUGAGACACGGCCCAGACUCCUACGGGAGGCAGCAGUAGGGAAUCUUCCGCAAUGGACGAAAGUCUGACGGAGCAACGCCGCGUGAGUGAUGAAGGUUUUCGGAUCGUAAAGCUCUGUUGUUAGGGAAGAACAAGUGCCGUUCAAAUAGGGCGGCACCUUGACGGUACCUAACCAGAAAGCCACGGCUAACUACGUGCCAGCAGCCGCGGUAAUACGUAGGUGGCAAGCGUUGUCCGGAAUUAUUGGGCGUAAAGGGCUCGCAGGCGGUUUCUUAAGUCUGAUGUGAAAGCCCCCGGCUCAACCGGGGAGGGUCAUUGGAAACUGGGGAACUUGAGUGCAGAAGAGGAGAGUGGAAUUCCACGUGUAGCGGUGAAAUGCGUAGAGAUGUGGAGGAACACCAGUGGCGAAGGCGACUCUCUGGUCUGUAACUGACGCUGAGGAGCGAAAGCGUGGGGAGCGAACAGGAUUAGAUACCCUGGUAGUCCACGCCGUAAACGAUGAGUGCUAAGUGUUAGGGGGUUUCCGCCCCUUAGUGCUGCAGCUAACGCAUUAAGCACUCCGCCUGGGGAGUACGGUCGCAAGACUGAAACUCAAAGGAAUUGACGGGGGCCCGCACAAGCGGUGGAGCAUGUGGUUUAAUUCGAAGCAACGCGAAGAACCUUACCAGGUCUUGACUCCUCUGACAUCCUAGAGAUAGGACGUCCCCUUCGGGGCAAGUGACAGGUG
rnacentral:rRNA from 1 species